AGCUCAGUCGGCAGAGCGUUUCCAUGGUAAGGAAAAGGUCGACAGUUCGAUUCUGUCA
rnacentral:tRNA from 1 species